rnacentral:rRNA from 1 species
GACGAACGCUGGCGGCGUGCUUAACACAUGCAAGUCGAACGGAAAGGCCCUGCUUUUGUGGGGUGCCCGAGUGGCGAACGGGUGAGUAACACGUGAGUAACCUGCCCUUGACUUUGGGAUAACUUCAGGAAACUGGGGCUAAUACCGGAUAGGAGCUCCUGCUGCAUGGUGGGGGUUGGAAAGUUUCGGCGGUUGGGGAUGGACUCGCGGCUUAUCAGCUUGUUGGUGGGGUAGUGGCUUACCAAGGCUUUGACGGGUAGCCGGCCUGAGAGGGUGACCGGCCACAUUGGGACUGAGAUACGGCGCAGACUCCUACGGGAGGCAGCAGUGGGGAAUAUUGCACAAUGGGCGGAAGCCUGAUGCAGCAACGCCGCGUGCGGGAUGACGGCCUUCGGGUUGUAAACCGCUUUCGCCUGUGACGAAGCGUGAGUGACGGUAAUGGGUAAAGAAGCACCGGCUAACUACGUG